rnacentral:rRNA from 1 species
ACUCCUACGGGAGGCAGCAGUGGGAAUAUUGGACAAUGGGGGAACCCUGAUCCAGCCAUGCCGCGUGUGUGAAGAAGGCCUUCGGGUUGUAAAGCACUUUCAGUGGGGAGGAAAGGUUGAUGGUUUAAUACCUAUCAGCUGAUGACGUACCCACAGAAGAAGCACCGGCUAACUCCGUGCCAGCAGCCGCGGUAAUACGGAGGGUGCAAGCGUUAAUCGGAAUUACUGGGCGUAAAGCGUGCGCAGGCGGUCUGUUAAGCGAG